rnacentral:rRNA from 1 species
UGCAAGUCGAGGGGUAGAAGUCUUCGGACUUUGAGACCGGCGCACGGGUGCGUAACGCGUAUGCAAUCUGCCUUCCACAGAGGGAUAGCCCAGAGAAAUUUGGAUUAAUACCUCAUAGCAUUGAGAACCGGCAUCGGUUUUCAAUUAAAGUCACAACGGUGGAAGAUGAGCAUGCGUCCCAUUAGCUAGUUGGUAAGGUAACGGCUUACCAAGGCUACGAUGGGUAGGGGUCCUGAGAGGGAGAUCCCCCACACUGGUACUGAGACACGGACCAGACUCCUACGGGAGGCAGCAGUGAGGAAUAUUGGUCAAUGGGCGCAAGCCUGAACCAGCCAUGCCGCGUGCAGGAUGACGGUCCUAUGGAUUGUAAACUGCUUUUGUACGGGAAGAAACACUCCCUCGUGAGGGAGCUUGACGGUACCGUAAGAAUAAGGAUCGGCUAACUCCGUGCCAGCAGCCGCGGUAAUACGGAGGAUCCAAGCGUUAUCCGGAAUCAUUGGGUUUAAAGGGUCCGUAGGCGGUUUGGUAAGUCAGUGGUGAAAGCCCAUCGCUCAACGGUGGAACGGCCAUUGAUACUGCCAGACUUGAAUUAUUGGGAAGUAACUAGAAUAUGUAGUGUAGCGGUGAAAUGCUUAGAGAUUACAUGGAAUACCAAUUGCGAAGGCAGGUUACUACCAAUUGAUUGACGCUGAUGGACGAAAGCGUGGGUAGCGAACAGGAUUAGAUACCCUGGUAGUCCACGCCGUAAACGAUGGAUACUAGCUGUUGGGCGCAAGUUCAGUGGCUAAGCGAAAGUGAUA